rnacentral:rRNA from 1 species
UAGCGUAGGUGGCGAGCGUUUGUCCGGAAUUAUUGGGCGUAAAGAGCGUGUAGGUGGGAUCAUAAGUCUUUUGUCAAAGUGCGGGCUCAACCCCGUGAUGCGGAGGAAACUGUGAUUCUUGAGUGCCGGAGAGGAAAGCGGAAUUCCCAGUGUAGCGGUGAAAUGCGUAGAUAUUGGGAGGAACACCAGUGGCGAAGGCGGCUUUCUGGACGGUGUCUGACACUGAG